CCUACGGGUGGCAGCAGUGGGGAAUAUUGCGCAAUGGGCGAAAGCCUGACGCAGCGACGCCGCGUGAGGGAUGAAGGUCUUCGGAUCGUAAACCUCUGUCAGCAGGGAAGAACGGUCACGGUGCUAAGCAGCAGUGAAUUGACGGUACCGGCAAAGGAAGCACCGGCGAACUCCGUGCCAGCAGCCGCGGGAAUACGGAGGGUGCGAGCGUUAAUCGGCAUUACUGGGCGUAAAGCGCUCGUAGGCGGUAUGUCAAGUCAAGGGUGAAAUCCCCGCGCUCAACGUGGGAACUGCCUUUUAACCUGGCAAACUGGAGUGUGUGAGAGGUUAGUGGAAUUCCCGGUGUAGGAGU
rnacentral:rRNA from 1 species